rnacentral:rRNA from 1 species
UACGUAGGGUGCAAGCGUUUAAUCGGAAUUACUGGGCGUAAAGCGUGCGCAGGCGGUUCUAUAAGACAGAUGUGAAAUCCCCGGGCUCAACCUGGGAACUGCAUUUGUGACUGUAGAGCUGGAGUACGGCAGAGGGGGGAUGGAAUUCCGCGUGUAGCAGUGAAAUGCGUAGAGAUGCGGAGGAACACCGAUGGCGAAGGCAGCCCCCCUGGGCUAACACUGACGCUCAGGCACGAAAGCGUGGGGAGCAAACAGG